rnacentral:rRNA from 1 species
CAAUAGCAUAUAUUAACGUUGUUGCAGUUGAAAAGCUCGUAGUUGAACUUUUGGUAGGAGCGACCUGGCCUUGGGCGCAUGCCCUUGUUUGCCGUGUGUCGUAUCUGGCCAUCCUUUUCUUCUUUUUGGAAGGAAUCUUUUACUGUGAGUAAACUGGAGUGCUCAAAACAAGACGUUUGUUUGGUACAUUAAAGCAUGGAAUAAUAAGAUAGGACCUGGUUACUAUUUUGUUGGUUUGCAUAGCUAGGUAAUGAUUAACAGGGACAGUUGGGGGUAUUCGUAUUUAAUUGUCAGAGGUGAAAUUCUUGGAUUUAUGAAAGACGAACGACUGCGAAANCANNNACCAAGGAUGUUUUCAUNAA